ensembl:lncRNA
GGACAUGAUGCUGUGAUGUUGGGGAGCAGAGUUUUGGGGUGCCCGAGGAGAUCGUCGAGCUGAAAGGGAACGGAGAAAGCCCUGUGCUGUUUGAGGAGUGAGGGUUUGCGGUGCCUGAAGGGAAUGGCUGUGCUGGGAGAUGACGUUGUGGUGUCAGGGUUUUCAAUGACCAUUCUGUUACUGUAACCACCAUGGAUGCGAACGCUGUGGUGAUAAAGGCUUGCUAUUUUCUCCUACUGGAUUCCUCAAAUCCAAGAGCUACUCAGCAGUUUCCAAGGCAACCACCUGUGGAAUAAUUAAAAAGGAUGAAGUGUUAGUGUGCCAGAUGAACGGAAUUCUUGCCUGGAGAGAGCACUUCAUUUUCAGCUGUUCUGAAGAAUCAAAUGUGAUUCUGCCAGCACAGUUCAGGUAGUACAACUAAAGAAUACUGAUUUUAUUAUCUGGAGUUACUGAAAGUUUGUGUAAGAGCAGCAAUCCCAGUAUGUCCAUGCGGUAUUCACUUAAAAUGGUCAUAGAUUCUUUAGUGUUAAUCUUUAUAUAUAUACUUGAACAAAAUUCAGGAGCAGGAUAAUGGAAGAGCAAUGUGGGUGAACAGUGUUUCAUGUAAGUAAAACACUUAGUUUUUGCUGUCUUUACGCACAGAUGAUUUUAAGCUGGUAAGGACUGAAAUGGAACGUACAUUAGUGGAAGCAUAAAUAUAGGAAGUGGAGACUUCAUGCCAAGUGCACUGAGAUUUCUUUGGCGUUCAGAAGAGUGAUGGAUAUAAAAGGAAUACAGGAGUGGGUAUUCACAGCAGAAUGACAGAAUCAAGGCUGUUUCUUUAUCCCAUAGCUUACUAGAGAGUGCGCAGUGAUUAAGUUGAUUUCGGAUCUCUGCUCUGGUGAAGCAGUAGCUAAAACCACUUUUAAGACAGCAGAUUGAAGAGGUGAAAUUUCAUAGUGGUGGACCAAUAGGUAAGGAAAAGAGCUCUAUUAGAAUAACAAAAACCAAAAAUGCCAAAUUCAGCUCUGAAAGUUUAAAACAUUACUACAAAAGUUUAUGGAGAGCUCCUAGGCUCUAGAUAGAACUAGAAACAUUAUUUAAGUAUAAGAUGUUGCUGGACCUAUCUGCUUAUUAUAUCUUCCUUCUCUGCCAGUCAUUCAAACACACUUGAAUAGAAAAAUAUUAUUCAUUUCUGACAAUGAAGUUAAAUGGAGAAAGCCACAUUCACGUUCUUCUCAUAGUCCAAAUAACUACUCAGUUAAGUUUGGUCACCUAGUUUAAUGCUUUUGUAUAGUUAGUUUUGCGUGUGAUGCUUUUGUGUCAUUUAUUUUAAGAAAAAAAAAAUUCUAAAUUUUGAAGUAGAAAUAUUUGGGAUACCAUCUGGACUUUACAUAAUAAAUUUUUACUGCCAAAAUGUUUGUGGGAUUCUGUUCGGAUGUGGAUGGGAUUUCACAUUCCAUGCCUUUUACAGCACAAGAGGAUCAUUGUUUUUUAGAUAUGGUGGGUCCAAGAAGAAAUAGAAAUUGCUUGAUGGCAGUUUUGUGAUUUGAUGGAAUACAUAUAGAAGCCCCCGUUCAUCUAGUAACUAUUGUUACCUCUUAGAGCUGUUAAGAAUCUCAAAAGCUAAUGUUUGUAGGUACAGUCUGAGUGAAACGGUCAUUUUAAACCCUAAUACUUACUUUGCAUUUCUAGUUUUACUGUCGUCACAGCUCAACUAUUAGAUUGUUUAUUUUGAGGUAAUGCUUCAGGCUGUCCAGUUUAAUCAGUAUACAGCUGAGGGAAGCUUUUCUUUUUAAGGAAAAACUACUGUUUUUUCCAUAUGAAAAGAUGCUGGUGAAGUAUCUGCAGCAUGGAGAAUAUAAUAUAAAGAAAGGCAUGGAGAAUAUAAUAUAAAGUUGACACACAGAGCAGGUAGAGGAAAGUAUGUGUGUAUGUAUGUACAUGUGGAUCCAAAUCCUUUGCUUUCCAAGAAACAUGAGUAACCCUGAAAGAUAAUGUGUAUACUUGUGGAAGAGUGUCCAGAUGUAUUUAUGUAUGUAAGACUAUAACAUGAUAGCUACGUAGCAACUGAUUGAAGUAAGUCAGCAGUCCCAGGGGUAUACAGAGAAAAGCUUCAUCCUGGACACACUUUGAAAGCAUCUUCAACAUAUCCAAGUACCUCAGUUUUUCUUUUUCCCCUCAAAUAAUGUGGGUGAGAUUAUUCUCAUGAAACUUAAACCUUCCAGGUAGUGGUAAAGCGGAUUGUGGAAAGCAGGUAGGGAACUUCAGGGAGCUGCUCAGCCUACACCUUUGAAAAGAAUGAUGACUUCUGGAGGCACAUACCUUGUACUGUUGAUUCAGCCCACUAAUUAAGCCUAGAUGUUUGAUACUGGUGGGUGUGUUUAUAUGUGAAACUCAUGUACACACACUUUUCUUUCUCCACGUUUCAUUCCUAAUCCAGAAAUAUAUUUAGUGGAUGUGAACUUGAUUACUGAUACAACCCAGUUGUUUCCAACUCAGCUGACUUACCUUAGCAGUUUUUCCAGACUUUGAGCACUGUGGUUCAAUAUCAAGGAUACUUGAGAGUUUGUUGGUGUAGCAUGCAUUUUUUCUUUUUAAUAGAAAAAAAAUUUAGACAGCUGGACUAUAUAGAAGGAAACAAAGUGGCUGGGCAGAACUUAAUUCUGAUCUGUGAAUAUAGCUUAUGUUCUACUGAUUGUUAUCACUGAGAUAUUUUAUGUGAUGGAAAGGGAAUAGAAACUUAGAAGCAUUGAUUUGUUCACUAACUCUGAUUUCCUUAAGUGAUUAUACAUGGCAACAUAGACUUUGUUUCUGCAACAUAGGCUAUUAAGAAUUAGUGCUGUUUGCAGCUAGAACAAGUAAAACUCUUUCUGUACUUCUCUUUCUGUAAUGAAAGAAAUGUUGGUCUCCAUGUUGGGGUAACUUGAGCUCCUUUUGAGAGAAGAAAUUGGAAUUAGUGAUAUAGUAAUGCUCUUAACAAUUAUUUAUCUGGUUAUUAUAGUUCUCCCUCUAAAGUUUCUGUGCUGCUGGUACAACUGUAGUGAAGGAGUCUGAUAGAGUGUGGUUUUCUAGAAGAGUGACUGAAAUACUUGUUGGUUUUUGUCAUGUAAAUAGUACUGCUUCCUAGAAAAAUAACAUUUUCCUCUUGUUGCUGGGAAAUCAAGGUAAUUUUUUGGGUUGGGGGUUUUCAAAGGGAAUUUUUCCUUCUGGCAAGAGGAGUCAGCAGUAAAAAUUUAGAGGUCAUAGGGAAAAAGGAGGGUUAAGCAGCAAACACCUUCCAUUUCUUGGAAGAGAGAGCUCCGGUAAGGAGUUGACCUUUUUGCCUAGGCUUUAUCUGGGACACCUAGUCUCUACAUAUCUUAAAAUACCCAGUAGAUAUAUCAGGCUGGUCAAGUACAUCAGGCAUUUUGUUAAAAUGUUGUAGAAAUGAUGUUCAACAGUGGACUUUAGGAGCAUCAGUCAUGAGGAUUCUAUCUAAACUCCUGUAUCUCAAGGUUUUUUGGACCAUCUGUUCCCCUCUGGCUUCUCAGAGAUGAGGGGGGAAAAUGAUGAAGGACGUUUUCCAGAUGCGUCAAUAUAAGGCAAUUUAAAACUUCUGAAUUAUGUAUUUAAUGGAGAGAUGGAACAGAGCUUUAAAUUGUGAACAUCUGCGUAUUUGCAGUGGGAUAGGAAGAGAUGAAAAUCUGUCAGUUAUUCAGGACGUUUUACCUAUGCAAGGUAAAAUGGUUUUUGGAGAGGUAAUAAGUAUGAGACUAAAAAGAGCAGCAGUUUUCAUGCACCCAUCUAGAGCUCCAUUUAUUCUCGAACAAUAGUAUAAAUAACUGAGUAAAUAAGGAGUGCAGGAACAGAACAGAACAUGAUACUCCUUGUGCGCACUCUUCGGUCUUCAGACAUUUGUAGUGCAAGGACUUACUGAGCUGGAUAACUUUCUUAGCUUACAGGAUUUGUCUACUGAAUUUGUUUAAUCUUCAAGCCAUAAGAAGUUUUAGCACAUGUAAUACUUUGUGGUUCAACAGAUUAAUGAACAUGACAACCCAGUAAAUGAAGGAUCAUAUGUUUGAACCUGAAUUCCAUUUGGUGUCUCUUUCUUGUACUGAAAUGGAGGUAAAUGACUGGCCCCUAUUUACUUUCUCCAUGAUAAUAAUAAUUUUUUCUAGACCUCAGCUUGCCCUAAGACUCAGUUUAAAGCCUGUUGACUUACCUUUUUUAUCCACGUAGCCUACUUCAAACUUGUUCUCACAGAUAUUUUGAAUUUCACAACUGAAUUUCGUUGACGUAUUUUAAUGUCCAGUCAGGUACCUCUUCACAGUGGUUUGUUUGUUUUCAGUUUUUCUUGUUUACUGUUCCUGCUACCCUGAAUAACUGAGUAUCAUCAGCACUCUGUUAGCAGUGUAUACAAAAUUGUGCUGAAGAAAGGAAGUUAAGCAACUGAAUGAAUAUUCACAGUUCUGAAUGUAUGCUGCUUUUAGAUGAUUUAAGUGUAGGAAGUUACCUUAGCAGCAGAGCUAUUAGUUGUUCUUGUUUUCUAAUGUUAAUUGAGCAAUUGCCUAAUACAGUAACAGGAAAACAAGAGUGCCCAUAAUGGCUCAAAUUAAAAGGACACGUAAACUAAAAUCACUUUCCUGAGUGGCAUUGGGCAGCUGCACCUUAGGGAAGUGUGCAGAAAGAGGGAGUGCAGCUCAGCUUCCAAGGGCAGAGUCCAGCAUCCUUCCAGCAACCUGCUGGAGCCUUGAGCUGUGACAAUGACAUUGUAGCUUCCAUGCAUUUCUCUAAUAUGAACUCACAUUGUCUUCCUUGAGGUCUUAGAGUUGUGAGGACUGUUGGUUUUGCAUGCAGCUCAUCUCCAUUAGUUUGUGCAGUGCCCUUGCCUCUUGCCCAAGUGGUUAUCUUCAUGUACCCCAUAUGAUUUCCCUUCAGCCAUUUCUUUUUCAGGCUGAGGAAUCUUGCUGAGUAUCACCUUUCCUCCUAAGGAAGCUGCUCCUGACUCUCAUCGAUGCUGCUCGGUGUACUGGUGUCACCCUGUUUCUAAUAUGGGAGGGGCAAAGCAGUGUGGAGAGCUCAGGGUACAAACAUGGAGCAGAUGGGUUAGCAUCAAAUUGCUGCUUCCGUACUUUGUCUCAGUUGUCUGCCUAGUUGUUCCUGAAAUCCUUCCUAGUCACACUGUAUAACAUGCUGGAAAAAAAAGGGCUGAGAAUAACACUUUGACUUACCUAGUGUUUUCUCUUCAGUAGACUUGUGUUCUCACAUUUAAUCCUUUUCGGUAUAAUUUGUGGUUGCAUAUUAAAUGACAAAGAUCUAAAUACAGAUCUGUACAGGAGUCCAUUCUGUGUGUGUGUGGAAAGAAACAUUUUCUUAACAUGUUAAUUAACUGUCAGUGAGACCUUUCUCCUUAUUGUACUGUGGUUGAGUUUUCAUCAGUACUUUAGCGAAGUGGGUAAUUUUUGUGGUCUCAAUACACAGUUAAUCAGAGCUCCUUCAGUAGACUUCAUUUGUGUAAGGUGUGAUCUCUGUGUUGCAGCACAUCAGUAGACAGUUCUCGUAUCUCAGUUAAAUGCAUGUCCUCCUGGCUAUUUGCUACUGCCAGAUUCUGUCUUAAGUUCUCUUCUGACCUGAGAUGAUGCUGGUUCUUUGUGUGCUGUGAAGGCAGGCUGCAGUGCUGGAAGUUUCUGGAGUGUUCCCCUUUUUAGCUACGUAACUAGAAGUAGAGAAUACUGCUGUUCCAAGUACAGAGCUUGAAUAUGUUGUAAUCACUAGUAGGCUCACUCUUUGGCAGAGAAUGUUUUCAGCAAGAUCCUGUAUGCAUCUUGCAGAUUGCAUCAAGUCCUGCUUUGUUGAGGGUUUUAAGAGCUGUUUGAAGAAGUGGUAAUUAACAGUCUCUUAAUGUAGUGUUUACAUCACAUUGAUAAUACUGGGAAUUUAUGUCUCUGCAAUCCUCCAAUUAAGCCACAUGAAUCUCAAGAGGCAGUGUUAGUCACUGGCAACUGUCAGUCAUCUUCAUGGGACCUUGGCUCGUCUUCUGCCUUGGGCUAAGAACUGUGUGUUGGGACUCACUGUAGCUCCUCCCUCAUGCUGGGCAUCAUGUGUCUCCCCUUCAUUACUGUUCUUACUUUUGUUGGAAGGAGAAGGUUGUCUGAGCUUCAUGAACUUUCACAUGUUGGGAUAGUCAAGUGAGUCAAUGUGAUGCAGUACCUCUUGGAAAGAUUUUGUAUGUGGGAUUGUGUCUCUAGUCCUGCUGGCAUAUGUUACACCAUCCAGCAUAGCAGGAGUCUAAAGUUAAACAAGGAAUGAUCCCAAGAAGUCCUUUCCAACCCCUGUGAUUCUGUGGAUCCUGCCUCCAGCCACAGAAGUUCAGAGACAGUUUGGCUUAUCCUCCUGUAAGCAUCUCCAUGGGGUCAGAUGUGUUGUGAUCUGGACUCUGCUGGGUCAGUCACUCUACAGCAGCUAUACUAGGGUGCUGACCACCCAGGAUGCAUAUACGUCCAUUGCAGACAUCUGAAAUCAGGUGUAUGGGAUCCCAUUUUGCUCCUUUGAACUGGAGGGUAGUCAUCUGUCAUCAUGGUGAUCAAGCCUGCUGUUACCGAUUGCCGGGGCAUGCAACUCAGCACCACGCAGACACUCGCUGUCCUCCUCGGGUGGGAUGGGGGAGUGAAUUGAAAAGGUAAAAGUAUGAGAACUCAUGGGUUAUGUUUACUGGGUAGAGCACAAACUGAAUGCGAGGAAAGGGAAACAAGGAAUUCACUCUCCACUUCCUGUCAGCAGGCAGUUGUUCAGCUACCAGAGAAGCAGGGGUCAUCGCAGAUACCCAUUUCUUAGGAAGACAAAUGCCGUCACUCUCAACAUCCCCCUUCCUCUUUCUUCAUCCCAGCUUUUAUUGCCAAGCAGGGCACUGUACAGUAUGGAAUAUGCUUUUUAACCAGUUUGAGUCAGCUGUUGUGAUGCACUCCAGCUCUUUGUGCACACCCCUCUUUGUGCUUACUAGUGGGACUGUGUGAGAGGCUGUGAAGUCCUUGACUCUGUAUAAAUAUUGCCUAGCAACAACUAAAAAUGUUGGUAUGUUAUCCCCAUUAUUUUCAUUAAAAAAAAAUCCACAUCAGAGCAUCAUACAAACUUGUAAAAAGAUGAUUGACUUCAUCCCAUGACACAAGGCAAAAAAGGCUCAUGGUGUCUCUUGGUGCAAGUAUGGCUUUCUGGGUGACCUGAGAAAUAAAGGGAGAGUAGAAUUUAAGAUGAAAUGUAGACAUCUGUAAAUUGGUAAAUCACUGUAAUGGCAUUUACAGUACUGUUGUAAAUACAAUGGGACAGCUUGGCAUGAGAUGAGUAGUUCAUAGUUUUGUACUUUAUACUUUACAUUUGUACGUGCUUUAUAUCCCAGAGAUGUGGUCAGAUACUGCUUGUAUUUCUACUUUAUGUAAUUCUUUUUUAUAUUCAUGCUGCAAAGUCUCAGGGAGCUUCUGGGUAAAGUAGGGGCAAUGCAGUUCGAUAGUUGUAGAAAAUGCAUAAAUGAAUGAGAAAGAACUGUACGUCUUCAACUGGUGGAAUUAAGUGAAUUGAAUCAGUUCUUUAAGGUGAGAUUUAAUUUCUGUAUUACCACUUUCUGGUUGUUCUGUACAGACAGCAGCAAUAGAGCUGUUGAACUGUUCUUGAGGUUUCUAAGAUGAGUUUGUGUCAUCCUGGGGUUAUUCAUACACUACCCCCCCAAAAAAAACCUUUUGAGUUAUUUCCAAAAAGUGUUUUAGCAUAUUAGUUAAAGAUUGUUCAUCCAAAUGACUGAUCUGAGUCGCUGGAAAUUUCGUGGUGUUUUACUUGAAGCGGUACGAGAGUACAUGCUGAAGCUCAUAUUUGUGUGGGUGAAUGGACAAUACUGUCUAAGUGUAUAAAUGCAGACUCCUUAGCAGCCUUUGGGCUGGGGUUCUUGAACUUUUUCUGUUCCCUUUUGUUCUGUCUGCUGCUUCCUCAGGUUUGUGUUUUGUGAGAAUGCAGACAGGUCUAAAAACAGUGUAGAUUACAUAACAUACUGCUGGGUUUUAUUUCAGCUGCAUGAAAGCAGGUCUUGGUUUCUAGUAGGUUGAACAAGCCCACCAGGCGAUGACUGGAAUGGAGCAGAAAGCAGUUGUUCACUUUGGUAGCAUUCACUGAUCCCAUGUAAUUAACUUAAUUUGGGGGAAGAUGGUACUUUCUGGAGAGCUGAAGGAUCCUUCGACCACACUGUGACUUUGUUCCCGUCAAAUAAAUGUAGACUGGAUACAAGUGUUCAGGGAUAGUGUCAGGGCUUAGAAGACAAAGGGUGUAUUCAGUUAAUGCUUGACAGGAAUUAAGAAAAAUUAACAUGAAAUUUUUGUGGUCUUGGAGAAUACUCACAUGAGGAGUUGUCUGUCUCACAUAUGAGAGGUUACAGAGUUCUUGGAUUGAAUUAGCUGUUUGGAAAAGGAGAUUCACAUGGAAUUUGUGGGGCAGUAUUUCAAUUUCUUUAAGAUAUAUUAGCUCCCAGUUCUGUUGCUGAAUACUUCUUACGGUUCUCAAGGAAGUGGACAGAUAGUCCUUGCUUAUACAGAAAUCAGUGGUAAGGAUUUGUUGAGGCCUGCAAGAAAAGGAAGAGGUUAACUCUGCACAGUCUUCAAACACAAGGCAAGGCCACUCAGCUGUCAGCAAAUAAUAGGUUUUUUGCUUAUUUGGAGUUUGUUGUUUCUUUCAACUUGUCCAAUUUUACCUUCAGCAGAGACCCAAUGUUAUUUCAGUAAGAUGUUUCUGGUAUUUUCUAUUAUGGAUGCUUGAUGAAAGAUUUCAGAUUCUGCAGAGGUAUUGUUGCCAGUGAUGCAGUGUUCUAUGUGUUAUUUACAGUAACUCUUUUUCAGAUUUGUAAUGCAAAUACAAUGUCAGCAGAUCUCAGAGCUCUGGUUCUUUUGGACUCCAGGAUUUCAUCUCGACUAACCUGCGUUGUGAAAGGUGAUAUCCAUUUGAUCCCACAGGAUUGUGAGGAAGGGCUUCCAUGACGAGCCUCAUCUGAUGUCUGGUUUUCAGUGAGCUAAAGGAAGACUUAUCUAGGGUCACUUCUUGCAGAAAUAAUUUCAAACAGCAAGUAACAGGGCUUGUUCUUCCCUUUGUGAUUGUUGUUCUCAACAGAGAAUUUUGGCUUCCUUCACAGUUCUAAUUCCUUGGUAUUCUGCCAUGGAAAAGCAGUCUUACGAUAAUUGUGCAGAGGAAUCUUUGUGUUUGAUCUGGAGUGACCUAGCUCCAUUUAACAAAAAAAAAACCCUUGCUUUUCUAUAGAAGCAUUUUUUUUUUCUAGUGGUACUGCUUCUCUCAUUUAAAGCUCUACCAAAUUAAACACACACUGCCAUAUGCUGGUAUAAUGCCAGAACACAGGUUGUGUUAGAAUAUAAAUUAACGGAACUGCAGUUUGAGAUUUGAAUUCAGUGAAGGGAUCCAUUUUGGAGGAUGUACCACUUGCCUGUGCAAGGUGGUUUGGAGGCUUCUGCCCUGGGAAAGCAUUUGGUGAGCAGACAGUGAAACUGCUGGUCUUCUGCAGUAUUAACAUUGCUUUGUCCAGCUGCUUUCCUGAGCAGUUGAUGGCUUUGUUCCUGGUAUGGAGUUUGGUAUCCAGUGAGCAAGGAGAGUAAAAGGUGAGCUUUUGUAAGCAGCUCUGGAAGCUUGGAUACUGGAUUGGACAUCCAGCUGGUCUGGGCAGCUCUUAAAUGUAAUGGUUCAUUCACGCUGAUCUGUAGAAUUCGAACUUCUUAAUGUAUAGGGUGAUCUUUCAAAGUCCACGAGUGGUCCAGAAGUUGUGGACCAAUGUGCCUAUGUUUUAUUAGCUGUGAACUGAUAUUUGAGACGCCUCCUUUUUGUUUGUUGUAGGCAUUUGAUAAAGAGAAAUGUUACAUCUCUCAGCUACGUCUCUCCAGGAGGUCAUUUUAGGACAGCUUCAUGACAAGCUUGAAGCAGUAAAUGGAAAGUGCUGUGUUUCGCUCUCAUGCGUAGGAAAGUACUCCUGCUGGUUUUACUGUGUGCUGAUCUGAUAGUGGCUGGUGUGGUGAUCUCAUAUGGAAAUGAUUUAGUUCAAUUCAUACACUGUAUUAUAAACAAAGAUAUUUAUUUUAUUGAUAACAUCAGAUGCUUGUAGUCUUGAAAAGACUGGAAAACUGAUGCAAAACAGCACUUUUUCCUCAAUAAAGAUGACCUGACAGGAAUGUAUGGAAACAGUCAAUAAUGUUCUGAAAGUGUUCGACCACAAUUAGCCUGCAAGUAGUUUGGUAAUUGAUUUAAAUUAGUAAGACUUCAAAAAGAGCAUUUUGAGCUCUUUUUCUAUGCCUUUUGUUUAUGUUGUAGGGGAGAACGUUAGGUAAUCUUCACUAAUCUCUGUGCUGCCUUGGAGACUAGAAAAUCUGAGGUUCUUACGUAGCGUGAUAAUUCUUAAUUCUAUUAACAAGAAUUAACAUUUUAAGAAAAAUGCUGAGCAAUUCACACCUUGUCAUGAAAUUACAAGACUGAGUAACAUUGUUUCAGGAGUAUUCAGCACAAUUUCACCAGAAAUAGUGGUGUUCUGGGCUUCUGGAAAGGAUGUAGUAUUCUGGGAAUUAGGAUUGUAUCAUAAAAGAGUGAAAAUCAAACCUUGUGGAUUAAAUGAGAUACUGUUACAUAAAAACAAUGCAUUUGAGUUUUGCAGAGCAUUAAAGUGGAAUAAAAUGGAAUUAUAAGAAGGAGGUGAAGAACUCUUCCUGGCAUCAGGAGCAGAACUAAUAAGUAUGUCAUCUGUUAAGUACAGCACAUGCUGCAGGAUAUAGCUUGUGUUGUAUGCAUAGCCCAUAGCACAGGCCUGUGUGAAGCUUGCUCUCAUCUCUCAACACUGUUUUUGUUCUCUUCAAGAUCUGUAGUUAUGAACUGGACAAGCCAGGGAGGGACUUUGCUGCUUUUAUCUUGUGGCCCAUCGAACUAUUCAAAACUACCAUAUUCAGUAGAGAGGGCUUUAUUAACUUUUUUUCAAUACAAAAUGGAAGUGAUGACCAGUUACUGCUGCCAGCCUGGAAGUUUCACUUCCAGAAAUGAAAAUGUGCAUUUCAUAAUUCUGAAUAUGGUAAGAAAUUGCCAUGUUCUCAUGCUUUCUUCAGAGCAUACAGAUAGUCUGACACAUGAAUCCAGAAAUUCAGGAUGACUCAAGAGUAAAAAUGAGCGAGUUAUGCUUUAUUCUGUCAAUUCAUUUCAAUUACAGAAUUGAAAGCACAUAAAAUUGAUGCCUUGUCUAGCACUGUAUAAAUUCACUUCCUACAGGAGGUAGAGGGGUAGGUUCAGACGUCUCUGUAGUGAGUGCAGUAGAGUAAUGAGGAAUAGAGCAGGAAUGAUCUGCAUUCCUGAACUGUCUGAGCAUCAGGGAAGAUAGAACUGCAUGCACAUGUUUUUGUAGAACAGAUUUUGAAGAUGUAAGGCCUGGUAUAAAAUGAAAAAUAGUAAGGAAUAUUUAACCUUGAAUACCUGCAGGACAUGACUUUCAGUUCCUGAGGAACUUCUACAUCUUCAGUCAGUGCUGCUAGACAGCCCGCUCACAGCACAGAUUCUAGAAUAUCAGUAUAGAUCAAGGGUAGAAUACAGUUCAGUGCUUGGUUUUGGUUCUGAUUCUUUUGUUUCUUAAUUUCAAAGUUUUCAUCUAUUAUUUUUCUUCUUUGUGUCAAAUAACGACCUUCCUUUCCUGCAGGUUCUGUUUUUGUUCUGUUGUUGCUCAUCUAUCAGGAUGUGUUUGCAACAUUUGUGAGUUCUUUCCUUUUGUCUCUCUUGUAGUGUACUCCAUAUCAGGUGAUACAGACAGGCUCUUUGCACACUGGCACAGCCAGCUGUGUAGGUAGAGUAUGUGUUUUUAAAAGUUUAUUUUCUGUGAUAUUUUACUUACUGUAUUAAUAAUGUGUGAGGGAAUGAUCUCAUCUUGUACUGGGGAAAUUUAGAUUGAAUAUUGGGAAGAAUUUCUUGAUGGUGCCUGUGGCCAAACACUAGAAUGGGCUGUCCAGGGGUGCGUUGGAGUCCCCAUCCUUG